rnacentral:rRNA from 1 species
GACGAACGCUGGCGGUGUGCUUAACACAUGCAAGUGGUGCGACGAACCAGAGCUUGCUCUGGGGCAAAGCCGCGAACGGGUGAGUAACACGUGGGUAAUCUACCCCGAUGACCGGGACAACCCGAGGAAACUCGGGCUAAUACCGGAUGUGGUACGGAGACAUAAGUCUCUUUACUAAAGGUAGCUUCGGCUUCCGCAUUGGGAGGGGCCCGCGGCCCAUUAGCUAGUUGGUGGGGUCAAGGCCUACCAAGGCAACGAUGGGUAGCUGGUCUGAGAGGACGAUCAGCCACACUGGGACUGAGACACGGCCCAGACCCCUACGGAGGCAGCAGUGGGGAAUCUUGCGCAAUGCGCGAAAGCGUGACGCAGCAACACCGCGUGAGGGAAGACGGCCUUAGGGUUGUAAACCUCUUUCAGAUGGGACGAAGGUGAUGCGGUGAAUAGCCGAUGUCAUUGACGGUACCGUCAGAAGAAGCUCCGGCUAACUACGUGCCAGCAGCCG